GGGUCAGUAGGUUGGUCGUGCCACCGGUACGUACUGGUCUCACUGAUUCCUCCUUCCUGAAGAACCGUAAUGCCAUUAAUCUGGUGUUGCGGGGAAACAGGACUGUUACUUUGAAAAAAUUAGAGUGUUUAAAGCAAGCUAACGCUUGAACACAUUAGCAUGGAAUAAUGAAAUAGGACGAUCGAUCCUAUUUUGUUGGUUUCUAGGAUUGACGUA
rnacentral:rRNA from 1 species